rnacentral:tRNA from 2 species
AUUAUAUUAUAUUUUUGAUUAAUUUGCAAUUAAUUGAUAUGGAAUUUCCAUAUAUGUUA